AACCUUUAGCAGGACGCCGUGUUUCCAGAGGGAACUCGCGCUGCUUGACCACAUGAGCUGACCAUUCCACUGUCCCUCUGUUCUAAAUGCAGGAUCUGAUCGAGCUGGAUUCACAGUGUGUGAGUGUUCAGGUACGCACAGGUGUUGGCAGUGCCUUUGGGUAGGGGCAGGUAUGAUCCUGGUCUCCAGCUACGGGAAUUGAAGCCUUGGCUGCAGCGCUGACAGUCCUGUCCACUCGUGUUGUGGUCGCAUUCACACUGCAGCGUCGCAUCACGUAACACACACUGAGACGCAUGCAGGUUACACUUACACCUGUAGGAAACACACACAGUAAGCAAAAGGCAGCAUGGAGAAACUCUGAUUCAGUGAGGGCCCAGAAAAGAGUGCCGAAAGCAGAUCAGAAAUUGUGUUAACCAGUUUUAGUCAGGAUUGUGACUCCAUCAUAGCACCAAGACUGCACUCAUGAAGGUGCUAUGUGACGUUCACCUGAACAGCGACUCAGCCAAAGUCUCUGUUGUGGUAUUGUUGGAUCUUAGUGCUGCUUUUGACACUGUGGAAAACAACCACAUUGCCCAGUUGUAAACUCCUUACACUGGCUACCAGUCACUCAGAGAAUGUACUUCAAAAUCAUUCUGCUCAUCUACAAAUCACUCUGUGGCUCUGGGCCUAAAUAUAUCUCUGAAAUGCUUGUGCCAUAUGAACCCCUGAGAACCCUGAGGACAACUGGGGCUAGCCUACUGGCUAUGUAGGGGUUCGA